UGCAGGUCACAGUUCACAGGGAUGGCUUCUGCCUGAAUAGGUCCUCACUGGGGCGGGAUGGGGGUUCCCCAGGUACCUGACACGGGAACUUCAGGGACAACCGGGGUUAGAUACCACCUUCCACAGGCUGGGCUGUGGCCCCGGUGAACCAAUUCACAGAUUUGGGAUCCGCUCUGCUCACCCACAGGAGUGGUGUACACCAAUGGGGACAUACUUUGUCAGCAUCUGGGCGUAUCUAAGUUCUCUGAGUGUCUGGAGCGGAGAUAUUUAAACUUCUUAAACUAGAAGGGAGUGGCAGGGAUCUUUGGGGUGACGGAGAGCUCUGAAAUCCCCCAUUCCUUUGUUUUCUAGGCACGUCAUCCAUUAGAGAUGUUCUGAGUAUACUUUUCCAUCUUUCCAGCUAGCCCAAAAGAAAACAGAUGUAAGGAACGAAGCCAGCCGCCCUGGAUGGGUUCCUCCCUGGCCUCAGGAUGAGGGGUCCUCCAGGAUCCUACUUCCAACACCAAGGAUGCCAGCCCCCUCCAGAUCCAGUUACCUGAGGUCAUCGCAGCUUUGGCUAAGUCCCCAGAUGACUGUCCACAUCUAUGCUGGAAAGCAUUCUCCUCAGCACAUGACCCAGCUAUCAGCUGAGGGUCUGGGUUGGCUCUGCCCUGACUCCAUAGCGGCUUGAGUGCAGAAGGACCCAGCCAAGCUGCUUUGUGGUCUCACUUUGCCGAUGGCUAUUAGGAGAGUUACAGUAAUCACAUCUUCCAACAUGGUGGCCGUGGCCCGUGCUGCCUGCAAUGCUGUGAGUCACUGGCCCAGCUGGGCUGGCCGCCACUGCCAGUGACCCACAGAACUUGUUUGGAGAGAGGAACUGGAUUAACGUGUAAGACUGCCACUGAGCUGGUGAAGCUGGUAGUUCCCAGGCGGCCCACCCACCGCCCCCUCCCAGAAGACUUCAAGCAGGUCCACUUCACACUGUGCCUGACCGUAAGAGCAGCGAGGAUUAGGGACGGCACAAGAACCCCUCUCCACUCCUGUAGACAAGAGCCAGAGAAACAGGAGCCGUGGGCUCAACUUGUCCUGUCCAUUUAGUGCUGACCGCUGCUCAUGCCUCCCAGGAACACACGGGUAUCAUUUAGAUGAAUGUGAGGAUUGCACUCAUGACAGAAGUUCUCUAAGUCACCUGUAGGGUCUACAUGCAUCGGACCUGGGCUCUGUCUCCUGCUAGGGGUGCCUAUCUAAGGGGUGGGGUCAAGACACUAAGUGGAAAAGCAACAGUAAUAAUAUACUGGGCAGGUAGGGAGGCCAAAAGUUGCCUGGGACAAAGUGUCUUGAAGGCUGGUUGAGAGGGAGAGAGCAUCAAGUGGGGCCUGAGGCUACACACAUGCACAUGUGUGUGUGUACAUGUAUGAACAGGCAUGUGUGUUGAGUACGCACAUGUGUGUGUGCUGGAACCUAAACCCUGGAGCUCCAUGCACACUGGGCAGACACUCUGUCCAUCGACCCACACCCAGGCACCUUGGCCAGUGAGCAGCAUGCACAAGUGUCCCCAGCAGCCUGGUGUGCAAGAGAGCCCUGCCUGGCUUGUGUGAACUGUCACCAACUUCUGCUGCUAGCUGACAAGGAAAAUGGAAAGGCAAGUCACACUAGCUCCUUAAAGCCUUGCUUGUGUGGGUUGGCAGGCCCUGGAAGGGCUCAUGGACUAACACAGAAGUAGAGGAAGCCAUUCCUCCGGGGUGCUUUCCCUUUGAGCCUCCAAGGCAGUUACAAAAGUCGUGGUAGAAGGGAUGAGCCAGUUUCUAUGACCACUGAGGAGUGAGGUGUAGAGCUGUCAACCAAGAGUUAAGGCUGCCCCCUUCCUGCCCUGAUGGCUGGGGCGGGGGCUGAGGAAUGGUGGUAGAAACAGUUGUGAGGGGCAGAUGAAGGUAGCAGAGCUGUCUCAGUCACAUCUUGUGCUAACUAGUGUUUUAGCUCCAGUCCACAGGGGAAACUGAGUCUCAGCAAGUGUGGGAAUCACUUGGCUGUUUCUUUCCUGGAGGCCCUGACAAGUGACUCAGGUUAGGAGCACUUGCUAUUCUUGCAGAAGGCCCAGGCUCGAUUCCUAGAAUCCACACGGUGGCUCACAACUGUCUGUAGCUCUAGUUCUAGGGGAUCUGACACACUCUUCUGGCCUCCGUGGGCACCAGGCAUGCCUGCAAUACAAGGGCAUAUACUCAAGAACACACACACACACACACACACACACUCACACACACAUGCACACACAGACAUACACACACAGACACAUACAGACACACAGACACACUCACACACACAUACACAUGCACACACACAGACACAUGCAGACACACACAGACAGACACACAGACAUGCACACAGAUACACACAUUCACAUACAUGCUCACACACAUAUGCAUAUACAGACAUAUACACUCACACACACAUACAUAUGCACACACACAGACACAUGCACACACAGACACAUGCAGACACACAUACUCUCACACACAUGCAUGCACACACACAGACACACACUUACAUACACACUCACACACAUACGCAGACAUGCACAACUGACACACAUACUGACACACACAUAUACAUGCACACACACAGACACAACACUCACACAUAUGCACACAGACAUACACACACACUCACACACAUAUACACUUAUGAAUGCACACACUCAUUCACACAUACACUCAUACACACAUAUACACAUGCACACACAGACAUACACAGGCAUACACACACACGCACACACACAUAUGCAUGCACACACACAGACACACAGACACACACACACACACACACACACACACACACACACCUAUCCUCCUAUCCUCAUCCUCCUUUGAGGCCCUUGAAGAGCAGUUCUCACUCGGCACACAGCUCUGUUCAUCUGAGGGGCUCAGUCCAAAGCAGACAGGAGUGGGGCUUGAUGUCCCAGGGAUAGUAUUCAGAGUGGCACCUGCUGUGUCAAAAGAAUGGCUUCCAUGUAGGCUCUGGUGAUAGGCUGGAAUGCGUGUGUACCCAGCGGCCUUCUCCUUUUUCCAUAUUUAGUCUCCCCCGCCCCUCUCAUGGCAAAUUGUGUAAGUGGUUUUGAUUUAUGCCUCCUUCGCCUUUCCUACUAGGAAGCUCUGAGGUGAUUUAUGGACUCUCGGGAAUUGCAUGCAGCUUAAGUCAGGAACGCGUGUCUGAAUUCAUCCUCCUUAUAUCUGGUACCAGCAGAGGACAGGGUACAGGUGACCGGUAGCAGCCAGUGGAUUGUACAGGAAACGGGGUACGAAGUACGGCUUCCAUACAGGUUAGCUUCUCUUUUGUAAAACACGGUUCAGAGUUCAGGAAAGCACGGAGACUCAAACACGAUUUUAGCUCCACCCUCAUCACCCUCGGCCCUCAGGGCUCGAAAUGGCUGCCGGAGUUCUGACCGUGGUAUUUACAGUCCAGACACUUGGAGGAAGUACUCGCGUGUUUCUGUGAAGAGGUUUUCUGGAUGCCCCGCCUGACACUGUUCCUCCCGCUGUUAGGGGCCAACCCUAGCUGCAAAGGAGGCUGGGAAGCCAGAGCGUCCUAGGAUAACCAUGGAGACCCAGGUCCCUAAGGCGCCAGCUACCCAGCAACUCUCAAUCCAAGCUCUUGGGGUCUAUCACCCAAAGAUGGUAGAUGUGGGGGAGCCGGAAAUGGCUUUUGACACCAGUGCUCUCACCUCAUUGGCCGAUACUGGUCACAUGGCCGCCUUGCUGCUCCCGGUGGGAACUGGGUUCUGUGUUCACUCAAGGAGAUGGGGGGUCUCCGGCAAUGAUCCUGCUGCAGAGUUCCCCUGUGGGACUCUAGCCAGGAACCGGAGGAGAAGCAGGGUUAGGGGCUCAGCCAUGGUGCCAGGGGCUUCACUGAGCAGUGCCCCAGACCACUGUCCUCCUGGGAGGCGGGGCGAUGCAAUGUGAAGUCUGUUACCAGAAAUGGGUUGAGCUGCCAGGCAGCGCUGCCUGCAGGGCACAAUUAGAGGAGUUCCCAGACAGGGGCUGGAAGGCCUGCUCCCCUUCAUGACCUGAAUGGGUCAUUUGUGGCUCAAAUGACAAUAAUUAGGACCAUUUAGCAAAGAGGAGGUGAAAGGUCACGCCGUGGGGCCGCCCUUCUCUUGUUACCUCCAGUGAGGGGUGACUGCCUCCGAGACUCACAGACCCAGGCCGCCCGGGCUGUGACAGACCAAGAGGCUGGCUACCUCCAUCAGCGGCUGAUGGUGUCCCCAGGGCCGUCAGAGCAGGCAUGGGCUCCAGGCCGUGAUGUCACAAGCAGGAUCCAAGUCCCAGUCACCCCACAGGACUGUUGCUCAGCGAGAGGACAGAAUGUGCAGCUAUUUGACUGGGCACAAGGGCUGGCCCCACGUCCAGCCUACCGGGCCUCAGCUUGACUCUUCCUGUUUUCCUUGAAAACUUGAUGUUGCUCCUUCGCAGGGCCAUUCCUAGUAUGAAGUGCCCAGGGCUCUGGAGUGUGAGAGUGGAGAAAGGCCGGUGCAGCGCCAGGAGCAUGCUGGGGACAUGGCUGGUACUCAUGACCUGGCAGCAGACGGAUGCUGUACAGUGAUGCCCGGAGCAUUAGACAUGUGCGGCUGGGAGCCCACGACCCACCGUCCCCUCUGUCUCGGCCCCUCCUAAGGAGGAGGCUAAGUUCUCAGGGCCACGCCUCCUGCCCCUUGCUUCCCAGUAAUUAGGAUGUCAGAGAAGGUUUGCUGGAGACCAAUGGGAGAAUCUUUAAUUAAAUACCCUGGGGGAGGGGGAGGCCUCUGCUAAGGCCUGGGUAUCUGAACAGCUGUGAAACUCGAGUGUCGAAAACCCAGAUACCCAGAUCACAAGAGAUGGUAUACGGAGGUGGGGCUGGGAAUAGAGGAGUUUCAGGGGCGAGCCCAGAGUAGAGUCCAUAGGUCUGUCUGUAAGAGUAGGGUGAAGGAAGGCCUUGAGUGGGCCUGCUGCUAGCUCAUAGUCCAAGGCCCCCAGGCUAUUCUCUGACACUACGCAAGGCCCAACCGGUACACAGGAAGUGCCACCUGCUCAUGUCCUUCCAAGAGCAAAGUGACUUUGUCUUUAACAGCCAUUCAGUCUUCUGUGAUAGGUUAUAGCCACAGGAAAUGGAUAGAAUCUCAGGUCACUGAGCCAGGUCCUUGGGGACAUAGCCUCUUUCCCUGCUAGCUGUUGGUCAGUGGGUCUUCCCUCUUGGAUGUGAAAUCACCCCAGUCAAGCUGGCACAGAGAGGUGUGCUGUCCUGCGGUGGCUGCUCUGAGACCUGUACACGAGACCACAGGCAUCAUCAUCAUCAUCAUCAUCAUCAUCAUCAUCAUCAUCAUCCCCCUGACGUUUCCUGAGAAAGCUGGAAAUGGUGUUGUAUGCCCCAGCGCGCAGGAGGCCAAGGCAGAAGGCUGUGUGUGAGUCCAAGGCCAGCCUCAAAAUACAUAGUGAGUUCCCUGACUCAAAAGAACACGUGUCAGGGGAGAAAGCUACACACUGACAAACACUGUGUUCAGACUCACUGUGCCUAAGACUCGGAAGCUCAAUGCAUCCCUCCCACGCUGUCUUGCCAGUUUACUGGUUCAAGUCCCAUGCAGACUCCCUCACUUGGCUUCAUACGCCUGUUGGUCUCACCAGGAGACUGGAGAUCUAAAUGGGCAUCACCAGGCAUGUCCCCUCUCUUUCCAGGCCUCAGUUUCCCUAUCUGUGUAGUCUCGGGCUACACAACCCUGACAUCGUGGGAUUGAUGGUAGAUUUCAAUGAGCCUCUUGAUUUUACCUUAAUGGCUCUGUACUGGCUGGUUUGGUGUGUCAACUUGACACAGGCUGAAGUUAUCACAGAAAGGAGCCUCCCUUGAGCAAAUGUCUCCAUGAGACCCAGCUGUAAGGCAUUUUCUCAACUAGUGAUCAAGGGAGGAGGACCCAUUGUGAGUGGUGCUGUCCCUGGGCUGAAUUCCUGGGUUCUAUAAGAGAGCAAGCUGAGCAAGCCAGAGGAAGCAAGCCAGUAAGUAACAUCCCUCCAUGGCCUCUGCAUCAGCUCCUGCUUCCUGACCUGCAUGAGUUCCUGUCCUGACUCUCUUUGGUGAUGAACAGCAAUGUGGAAGUGUAAGCUGAAUAAACCCUUUCCUCCCCAACUUGCUUCUUGGUCACGAUGUUUGUGCAGGAAUAGAAACCCUGACUAAGACAGGCUCUGAAGCCUUCCGGGGACAGAGGUGACAGCAGCUGGUGGUGAGCAGGGGACCGCACUCCCAGGUGCUCGGGACACGUGGUCCAGAAUGGAGGAAAUGUCCCAAUUUGUAUCCUGUUUGGCCUCACAACAGCCAGGAGAUGAGAGACAGAGUCACCAGAUCCCACAGUGGAGAUUGUGCUGCGAUUUUGGCUUCGGAGCCUAAUUAAGUCAGUUCCGCCACUAUUGGGUUUGAAAGUAAAACACAACUUGAUAAUGAAGAAGGAAACCGCAGAUGCAAAGGUGUUGCCAUGGG